rnacentral:tRNA from 2 species
GGGCAGGUGGUAGAGCGGUCAAUUACUCCAGACUGUAAAUCUGGCGCCUUUAUGGCUACAUAGGUUCGAAUCCUAUCCUGCCCACCA